rnacentral:rRNA from 1 species
UACGGAGGGUGCAAGCGUUAUCCGGAUUCACUGGGUUUAAAGGGUGCGUAGGCGGGUAAGUAAGUCCGUGGUGAAAUCUCUGAGCUUAACUCAGAAACUGCCGUGGAUACUAUUUGCCUUGAAUAUUGUGGAGGUGAGCGGAAUAUGUCAUGUAGCGGUGAAAUGCUUAGAUAUGACAUAGAACACCAAUUGCGAAGGCAGCUCACUACACAAUCAUUGACGCUGAGGCACGAAAAGCGUGGGGAUCAAAACAGG